UCAGUCCUUUUUUCUGGUAGAGGAGGAUGGCUCUUUUGUUUUCACCUUUUCUCCUGUUUUUGGUUAGGGAGUUUAGAGAUUGUAAAUAUG